AGAAACAUCAACUCACUUAGAAAAUAGUGUUCCCAUAAAUCAGACCUUUAUCCACCUCUUUAUCAUUAAGGAGACAUUAAAACAAUUAUAGAUAACAUAUAAGUACAUGAAAAUAAACACCAGAUUUUACUAUAUUGAAUUAGUACUUUAAAAUUUUACUGUGUAAGUUCUGAACAUGGUGGUACAUUACUUUAAUUCUAACAACUUAAGAGGCAGAGGCAGGAGGAUCCCAAGUUCAAAGUCAGCCUCCACAAAUUAAUGAGGCCCCACACAAUUUAGACCCUGUCUCAAGAUAAAAAGCACUGGGGAUGUGGUCCAGUGUUUAAGCACUCCUGAAUUCAAUCCCUUGUACUCCCCCGUCCAUUUUUUUUUCCCUAUAGAAUGACUUUACUCCUAAGGGCCUUGCAAUUUGAGAGAGCAACACAACUUCUCAAUUUCUCAACACAGGGAUUUUGACUACCUUCGAAACCAAGAGCCACCAGUGCAUAUUUUGUGAAAAGGAGGGUCAUUGCAGAGAGAUUCCCAAUAGUUACCCAGGAAGCAACAUGUUCAGCUGAACACUGACCCAUUCUGGCUCCUGGCAUGUCUGAUAGAAAACAACAAAAAACUGAAGAAUCCAAGCAUUUCCUUAUGAAGCCCCUAGAUAAUUACCCACUGAGGAGACUUGAGUCAUGUCAAAAAAUUUUUAAAAAUAUUUUUGCCCAAUAUCAAAUGCCUAUUUGGUUUUGGACAACCAGUAGAAAAUUUAACCAGAAACAAGUGUUCAAUUAUGAGGAUAAAAAAAGAGCUAUACUCAUG
rnacentral:lncRNA from 1 species